UACGUAGGGUGCGAGCGUUAAUCGGAAUUACUGGGCGUAAAGCGUGCGCAGGCGGUUCGUUGUGUCUGCUGUGAAAUCCCCGGGCUCAACCUGGGAAUGGCAGUGGAAACUGGCGAGCUUGAGUGUGGCAGAGGGGGGUGGAAUUCCGCGUGUAGCAGUGUAAUGCGUAGAGAUGCGGAGGAACACCGAUGGCGAAGGCAACCCCCUGGGCUGACACUGACGCUCAGGCACGAAAGCGUGGGGAGCAAACAGG
rnacentral:rRNA from 1 species